AGUGAACGCUGGCGGCAGGCCUAACACAUGCAAGUCGAACGGCAGCACAAGAGAGCUUGCUCUCUGGGUGGCGAGUGGCGGACGGGUGAGGAAUGCAUCGGAAUCUGCCCAUUUGUGGGGGAUAACCUCGGGAAACCGGGACUAAUACCGCAUACGACCUACGGGUGAAAGCAGGGGAUCUUCGGACCUUGCGCAGAUGGAUGAGCCGAUGCCGGAUUAGCUAGUUGGAGGGGUAAAGGCCCACCAAGGCGACGAUCCGUAGCUGGUCUGAGAGGAUGAUCAGCCACACUGGGACUGAGACACGGCCCAGACUCCUACGGGAGGCAGCAGUGGGGAAUAUUGGACAGAGGGCGCAAGCCUGAUCCAGCCAUGCCGCGUGUGUGAAGAAGGCCUUCGGGUUGUAAAGCACUUUUGUUGGGAAAGAAAAGCAGCCGGUUAAUACCCGGUUGUCAUGACGGUACCCAAAGAAUAAGCACCGGCUAACUUCGUG
rnacentral:rRNA from 1 species